ACAGCCUUUUGUGUCUGUUGAAGUCUGGAUACUUGAUCUUAAGGCAGGCAGCCAAACUUUUCCAUGAAGAAACCAAGAUGCUAAGAGGGGAAGCCUCCAUCUGGGGGAUUUGGGUAGUUACUGAUGACCCCCAGAAUGCUGACCAAAGCCCCACCUAUUAUGCCAAAACACUUGAAAGGGUCUGAAAAGCAUGCUGUGAACCUAAAAGCUAUGAAAAA